CCUACGGGCGGCAGCAGUGGGGAAUAUUGCACAAUGGGCGCAAGCCUGAUGCAGCCAUGCCGCGUGUGUGAAGAAGGCCUUCGGGUUGUAAAGCACUUUCAGCGGGGAGGAAGGCGGUGAGGUUAAUAACCUCAUCGAUUGACGUUACCCGCAGAAGAAGCACCGGCUAACUCCGUGCCAGCAGCCGCGGUAAUACGGAGGGUGCAAGCGUUAAUCGGAAUUACUGGGCGUAAAGCGCACGCAGGCGGUCUGUCAAGUCGGAUGUGAAAUCCCCGGGCUCAACCUGGGAACUGCAUUCGAAACUGGCAGGCUAGAGUCUUGUAGAGGGGGGUAGAAUUCCAGGUGUAGCGGUGAAAUGCGUAGAGAUCUGGAGGAAUACCAGUGGCGAAGGCGGCCCCCUGGACAAAGACUGACGCUCAGGUGCGAAAGCGUGGGGAGCAAACAGGAUUAGAUACCCUAGUAGUC
rnacentral:rRNA from 1 species